UCCCGGGCUGGGAGGGGGCAGAGGUGCCUGGUCCACCUGGGUAUGCCCUGGUCCAACAGGCUGGGGCUCCAGGGCCAGGCACUCCGAUACCUCCUGAAGCCAGCCACUGCCAGGCUGCUUAGUCAUCCCUGGGGCCUGGCACCCUUGGAGCUGGUGGGCCCUGUCAGAUGCCCCCGGGCUGCCCUUCUCCACCGCAUAGAUGGGGAGACUGAACCCGAGUGGGCAAGGCUUGCCCUGUCACACAGCCAGGACCAGAGCCACCGCCUGCCUCUCUCUGAGUACCCAGGGACCUAAACGAAGAGGAGGGGGCUAAAGAGAAGCCUGGACUGGAGUCAUCCUCCCAGCCAUGAUUGAUGUGCCUGGGGGCCAACAGCCCGGUCUCCUACUGUACAGACGGGGAAACUGAGGCCCAGGGUACGAGCGCCUGGCUCAAGGUCAUACAGUCGGGCAGCCGGAGCGACUCGGACCCAAGGCUGCGGGUUCCCCAGCCCCUCUGUGCUGUCCAGGGCACGUUAGAUACGAGAUGCGGGUGGCCCCAGGGCGAGGCCCGGGUGGACCCCACACGCGGACAGGGAAGUGUC
rnacentral:lncRNA from 1 species